UUGCUUGCUUUGGUAGCACAUGUACUAUAAUUGGAAUGAUACAGAGAAGAUUAGCAUGGCCUCUGUGAAAGGAUGACAUGCAAAUUUGUGAAGCAUAUUUUU
ensembl:snRNA U6 U6 spliceosomal RNA